GAUGAAGAACGUAGCGAAAUGCGAUACUUGGUGUGAAUUGCAGAAUCCCGCGAAUCAUCGAGUUUUUGAACGCAAGUUGCGCCCGAAGCCAUUCGGCCGAGGGCACGUCUGCCUGGGUGUCACGCAUCGUUGCCCCCCCAAACUCCGGUUCGGGCGGGGCGGAAGUUGGCCUCCCGUGCGUGUCUGCGCGCGCGGUUAGCCCAAAAGCGAGUCCUCGGCGAUGAGCGCCACGACAAUCGGUGGUUUUUUUACCCUCGUUCCUCGUCGUGCGUGCCCCGUCGCCCGAACGCGCUCUUGCAACCCUUACGCGUCGCCUCGGUGGCGCUCCCAACGCGACCCCAGGUCAGGCGGGACUACCCGCUGAGUUUAAGCAUAUCAAUAAGCGGAGGA
rnacentral:misc_RNA from 1 species